UCCCUGGUGGCUGAGUGGUAAAGAAUCUGCCUGCCAAUGCAGGAGACCUGGGUUUGAUCCCAAGUCUGGGAG
rnacentral:tRNA from 1 species